rnacentral:rRNA from 1 species
GAUGAACGCUGGCGGCGUGCCUAAUACAUGCAAGUCGAGCGAACAGACGAGGAGCUUGCUCCUCUGACGUUAGCGGCGGACGGGUGAGUAACACGUGGAUAACCUACCUAUAAGACUGGGAUAACUUCGGGAAACCGGAGCUAAUACCGGAUAAUAUAUUGAACCGCAUGGUUCAAUAGAGAAAGACGGUUUUGCUGUCACUUAUAGAUGGAUCCGCACCGCAUUAGCUAGUUGGUAAGGUAACGGCUUACCAAGGCAACGAUGCGUAGCCGACCUGAGAGGGUGAUCGGCCACACUGGAACUGAGACACGGUCCAGACUCCUACGGGAGGCAGCAGUAGGGAAUCUUCCGCAAUGGGCGAAAGCCUGACGGAGCAACGCCGCGUGAGUGAUGAAGGUCUUCGGAUCGUAAAACUCUGUUAUUAGGGAAGAACAAAUGUGUAAGUAACUAUGCACGUCUUGACGGUACCUAAUCAGAAAGCCACGGCUAACUACGUG